rnacentral:rRNA from 1 species
UCCUUAGAUGUCCUGGGCCGCACGCGCGCUACACUGAUGCAUUCAACGAGUUUUACCUUGGCCGAGAGGCCUGGGCAAUCUUUUAAACCUGCAUCGUGAUAGGGAUAGAUUAUUGCAAUUAUUAAUCUUGAACGAGGAAUUCCUAGUAAACGCAGAUCAUCAAUCUGCAUUGAUUACGUCCCUGCCCUUUGUACACACCGCCCGUCGCACCUACCGAUUGAAUGGUCCGGUGAAGCCUCGGGAUUGUGGCCAGUUCACUUUAUUGGGAGUUGGCUGCGAGAACUUGUCUAAACCUUAUCAUUUAGAGGAAGGUGAAGUCGUAACA